rnacentral:rRNA from 1 species
GGGGCAGCAGUGGGGAAUAUUGCACAAUGGGCGAAAGCCUGAUGCAGCAACGCCGCGUGAGCGAUGAAGGCCUUCGGGUCGUAAAGCUCUGUCCUCAAGGAAGAUAAUGACGGUACUUGAGGAGGAAGCCCCGGCUAACUACGUGCC